CACAGAUGGAAACAGAUUGAGAUACGCUGGUGUAGUGGAUUCAAUAACAAAGAUCGACCUACUGUUUUUCAAAUUGGCCAUAAAAUGAUAACAAUUCUGAGAAUAUAGAUGCCCUGGAGUCAAACCUUUGGGAUUUCGAGAGCUUACUUGUAAUAUACUGAACACAAAGAUGGAGGCUAAAUUGAAUAUCUUUUUUAAGUCCUCAAAGGAAGUAGAAUCAAGUGAUGCUGUUAGUACUACUACUGCUGCUUUUUCAAGUAGUAUGACGACGUCAGGAGUUGAUACCCGGAAGUACAUCAGGAUUUCUAGAACACUAGAAAAGAGAGUUUCGCCAGGCGCCAUGUCUGAGGUUAGGAUGCUGACCGCGAAAUCCAAGAAAGGGUUUGACACAACAGUGUUGGUCUGUGAAGAGGAAAAAUUAAUUCAAAGGACACCUAGCAAAAUCAAGAAAAAGAGAGAGGUAUUAAUGGAAGAUAAAGGAACUGAGAUAACACCUUCCUUAAUAAGGAUGUCAGUGAAGGAAAGGGAAAAAGAAAAGAUGAAGGAAAAAGAAAAGGAAAGGGAGAGAGAGAAGGAAAGGGAAGAAAAAGAGAGGGAGGAGAAAGAAAGAGAAAAAGAAAGAGAAAAGGAAAAGGAAAAAAACAGGGAGAAGAAGAGGAACGGCAGGGAAGAGAGUGUUUCUUUUUCCAAGUUCCAGCAGCAACAGUUUAGCACUUGCAGCAUUCCAUCAAUAAAACCAGCAUUUUGACACCUUCCCGGUAUGUCUUUGAUGCUUUUCUACUUUCUUUGAUAAUAGUGGGUUUUGGA
rnacentral:lncRNA from 1 species